GGAUGCAAUCAUACCAGCACUAAAGCAUCGGAUCCCAUCAAAACUCUGAAGUUAAGCAUGCUUGGGCGAGAGUAGUACUAGGAUGGGUGACCUCCUGGAAAGUCCUCGUGUUGCAUUCC
rnacentral:rRNA from 1 species